UUUACUUGUAGUAGAGGGACAAAAUGGUGAUCUUCCUACUUAUAUUAUAACAUAUGAUCAUCAUCAUCUUGUUGGUAAUACAUUGAAGCAUCGUCAACUGGUAAUGAAGGUGGAGUUCCAGGAGGGAUGCAGGAUUCACCAUUUUCGCCGGCACAUAUACACAGAGCCUCUGCAUCCCUGAGGAUAGCAUCUAGGUCAAUAUGACCACUCAGCUCGUUGAUAAAUUUCAGUAGUGUGUCGAAAUCCAUCCCCUCUCCUAUUAUUUUGCUGCGAUGUCUUUUCAGAAUCGCGACACACACAUACAGAUGAAGGUGCUCGCUCCCAUAAUGCGUCCAUAAUACCUCCCACAAUCGCAUCGUUUGUUCAAAUUCAAACUCCCUUUUGAAUUGAAUAAGAACCCAUCGGAAGCAGAAGAAAUAAUUCAAACAGUCCUUCUGUUUGAAGUAAUUAUGCAGAGGGAUGUCCAACAACUCGACCAACUUUGAUAAUGCAAAAAGCUGAGAGUGCAUUCCAUUUUGGUCACGGUUAAAGUUUGGUCCAAGUCGUUCCAUCAACGCCACAAAGCACCAAAAUGUUUCUGAUUCAUCUCCCAUAAUAAACAAUAUUGGUGAAAGGAGAUCGCUCAUACCCUGACAGUAACCCAAAUCAAAGUUGUAGAAUGAGUAUGUCAGCAGUAUAUCACGCAAACAUUUAAUGUUUGGGUUGUCAUCCUCUUCAUAGAAUGAAACUGACCUAUCAGUCCUCACCACAUCUUUUUCAAUGAGGCCUCUCCUCUCUCGGAAUUUUGUAAAUCUUUUUGCCUGCUCCUUAGAGAUGCUCUUCCAUUGGUUUUUUAUCGUUUCAUAUUCUGACUUUUUGACGGACACAAGGUAUUCCCUCUCUGCAUAAGUUGAAUCAUAUGAAUGGUAUCCCAACAGAAAUUGCCACACCUCUUUACGUAGAUCUGGUUCCACUCCACCAUAAAAUAUUCUCUUUCUUACUGCUUCUGAGUCUGUGACUCUCCCUUCGGUGUCCAGGAAAGCAGACCACUCUUCUGUUCCCAAGGGGGGUUGCCGUGGUUUUCCCCAUACUAGUGACAGUUUGUCAAACUCCAAGGGAUCCGCAGGCACCGGGACAUCCUCAGGAAGCUUCUGAGCAUCAUUAGAUUCGGCAAUGCGAGGAUAAUCAUAUGUUUUUCCAUCGUGAUUCCUCCUGUCAUUAGAGACAAAACUAUCUCCCUGAGCUUCACCAAAAAGUUGUGAUGUCGUUUCACGAGCAAAUCUGGUCACAAGAGAAAAUUUCUCUAGUACUUGAAUUGACAAAUCUCGAGCAGGAUCAUUAUGUUUUUGUCUUUGCCUGGCAUUUUGUUGAGCAAGUGCAGAAUUUCUAUCAAAAGUUUCCCCCUCUGUCCAGCUAGAUGGGGAUUCGCUAGGUGCAGCUGAUGAUGGACUGUUAGUUACAGAAACAGCCCUAGGAAGUUCCAAGGAGGAGAGAGUUCUCUGGAGUGGAUCUUGAAAGUCGUUGACAAGAAAUACAUUAGCAUCAUCGGCUGAUCUGGAAAAAUAUAACUCACCAGUAAGAAUGGAAAGGCCUUCAGCCUAAAAUCAAGUUAUCUCUCCCACUACUAGUUCAUUGCAACAAGAGAUACUGGAACGAGAAAACAUUGAGAUCCCAAAUUUCUAGUAGUAUGAUAAGAUAUACUUUUUUGACAGGCUGGAACCAGUUAAACCUGGAACGAAUUCGCAGUUGGUAUACCUGUAGUUCAGCUACUUUAAAAAACUGAAAAGAAUUCAUAGUCGGUGUCCUGCAAUUCAGCUGGAUUACCAUUGAAUGUCAGCCAGAGGUAAACCUUCCAUGUACCACGUCCUUACAUUUUUUCCGAAACUAUCUCUCAGUCACCAAAAGAAAGGAGCAACUUUUUAGAUCUUUUAUACGACAUAGCUUUUGAUUUUUUUACUGAGAUCAGUAUCAUUCAUUAGCGGACUAUCUAGUUUUACUUUCUAUUCUCAUCUUAUGAAUUCUGCCCAAAAAGAAAAAGGAAGAGAUGAAUCUGAUUUAUUAGUUGAAUUGCCUAGUCAUGACAAUGACGAAGACGAUGCAUAAGAGAACAAAUUAAGUUCACCUCACAAGAUAAGCAUGCUGCUUAAUUGUUGCAAGAAACUCCCGCACACCGCCAUUGUAGAAAUAAAGCGGAGGAAAUGCUAGUCCUGAUGACAAAACUACAAUAACAUAUUGCCACCCCAGGGUCGGAGUGUGUCGUCGAAUUGAUCUAACAUCCGAAAAUGGAACUGCUCGUAUAGUGUAAAGACUCUUAUCUUUUUCAGACAACCUUGCACUCGAGCUUUGUCCUUUAUAUGGAAUCCAAGUCAUAAACAGAGAACCUCCUUGCUUGAUCA
rnacentral:misc_RNA from 1 species